rfam:Strigamia maritima strain Brora ctg7180001229879, whole genome shotgun sequence.
CAACUUGAACUCAAGCGUGACUACCCGCUGAACUUAAGCAUAUCAGUAAGCGGAGGAAAAGAAACUAACAAGGAUUCCGUCAGUAACGGCGAGUGAACACGGAAGAGCCCAGCGCGUAAGCUCCCACGUUUUACGUGUGGCGCGGUGUCGCGUAUAGGCAUGACUUGCCGGUGUUGCUAAUGUCUGAAGUUCGCUGGAAGGCAACUUCCCAGUGAGGGUGUUAGGCCCGUUCGGAUUGCGGCUUCAUCGGUUGGGAUUGUCUGAGAGUAGAGUUGCUUGGAAGUGCAGCUCGAAUUGGGAGUUAUACCACUUCCAAGGCUAAAUACGACCACAAGACCGAUAGCGAACAAGUACCGUGAGGGAAAGUUGCAAAGAACUUUGAAGAGAGAGUUCAAGAGGACGUGAAACUGGUAGUGGCGAAGCGGAUAGCGUUGACGAAUCCGGCGGUAUUCAGUGUUGGUGUUCUGCAAUGUAAAGUUGUGGUUCACCGGCGCGGUUUCAUCGUCGGUAUACGCUGAGAUAUCCGGGUGCUCCUUCCGAACCGCCAGGUGUGGCCCACUUCGGUGGUGUCCGACCUGGUGGGGAGGUUGAUGCUGCGCCUGGGUAGCUUUCCAAGCCUUGCCUUUGUGCACGGCGUGUGUGCGCUUGUAGGCGGCCUUUUUUGAGUUGCUAUGCUCUGAUUAGGUUCGUCUGCAGGUGUGUGUGCGUUGUGCUAUGGGCUUGCUCUCGGCGUUGUUCAAGUCGACCACCUAUCCGUCCCGUCUUGAAACACGGACCAAGAAGUCUAGUAGUUGUGCGAGUCAUUGGGUGUAAAACUCAUUGGCGUAAUGAAAGUAAAGGGUCGCUUGCGGCCUGAUAUGUGAUCCGUGGCUUGCCGCGGCGCAACAUAGCCCCAUGUCUAUUGCUUGCAAUGAUGUGGAGGUAGAGCAUAACUACUGGAACCCGAAAGAUGGUGAACUAUGCCUGGGCAGGAUGAAGCCAGAGGAAACUCUGGUGGAAGUCCGAAGCGGUUCUGACGUGCAAAUCGAUCGCCAGACCCGGGUAUAGGGGCGAAAGACUAAUCGAACCAUCUAGUAGCUGGUUCCCUCCGAAGUUUCCCCCAGGAUAGCUGGACCUUUUGAUUGUUAAACCUCGUAAAGUUAAUGAUUAGAGGAAUUGGGGGCGUAAUGCCCUCAACCUAUUAUCAAACUUUCAAUGGGUUUGAAGCUGCGGUUGCUUAAUUGAACCGCGGCAUUGAAAGAGAGGUCCAAGUGGGCCAUUUUUGGUAAGCAGAACUGGCGAUGCGGGAUGAACCGAACGUUGGGUUAAGGUGCCUAACUUUCCGCUCAUGAGACCCCACAAAAGGUGUUAGUUGAUAUUGACAGCAGGACGGUGACCAUGGAAGUCGGUACCCGCUAAGGAGUGUGUAACAACUCACCUGCCGAAUCAACUAGCCCUGAAAAUGGAUGGCGCUUGAGCGGAAGACCUAUACCCAACCGCUGUUGGCUUGUACGUUGGUAGCGUCUGGCCUCAGUGAGUAGGAGGGUGCAGCGGUGAGCUGUGAAGGUUUAGGGUGUGAACCCGACUGGAGCCGCCGUUGGUACAGAUCUUGGUGGUAGUAGCAAAUAUCCAAAUAAGAAUUUUGGAAACUGAAGUGGAAAAGGGUUCCGCGAGAACAGUUUUUGUUCGCGGGUUAGUCGACCCUAAGAUACUGGCGAAAGCUUUGUAUCAUUGGGAGUUUAAAGAUUUUCUUUAUUCUCGUUUGUCGAAAGGGAACCAGGUUAAUAUUCCUGGACCUAGAGCAUGGCUUGACGAUCGCAAGAUUGUCCAGAGCGGUAACGCGAACGAACUCGGCGACGCUGAGCAAUGCCCGAGCUAGAGAUCUCUUCUCUAGUUGAGGAACGGACCCCCUUGAAUCGGCUUAGCCGGAGAUAGGGGCGUUGUUUCCGUAAAGCACCGCGGUUUCUGUGGUGUCUCGUGUGCAUUGCUCGGCCCUUGAAAAGCCGAGGGAGCAGAUAGCCAUGUCUAGAUCGUACCCAUAUCCGCAGCAGGUUUCCAAGGUUCGUAGCCUCUAGUUGAUAGAAUAAUGUAGAUAAGGGAAGUCGGCAAAAUAGAGCCGUAACUUCGGGAAAAGGUUUGGCUCUGAGGGCUGAGUCGUCCGGGCUCUGCAAUGAAGCUUGUGCGACCGCGGCUUGGUUGGGUGUGCCCUCGGGUGCGCUCGACCUACGCUGCGGUUGUCUUGUGGACUUGCUUUGCUGUGUGCAUGUGCCCUCGGGUGUGUGUACUUCGGGCGACGGUUAACAGUCGACUCAGAACUGGUACGGACUCGGGGAAUCCGACUGUCUAAUUAAAACAGAGGAGAUAGAUGGUCCUUACGGACGUUGACUAUCUCUGAUUUCUGCCCAGUGCUCUGAAUGUUAAAGUGAAGUAAUUUGCUUAAGCGCGGGUAAACGGCGGGAGUAACUAUGACUCUCUUAAGGUAGCCAAAUGCCUCGUCAUCUAAUUAGUGACGCGCAUGAAU